CAGUAGCCGCGGUAAUACGAAGGGUGCAAGCGUUACUCGGAAUUACUGGGCGUAAAGCGUGCGUAGGUGGUGGUUUAAGUCCGUUGUGAAAGCCCUGGGCUCAACCUGGGAAUUGCAGUGGAUACUGGGUCACUAGAGUGUGGUAGAGGAUAGUGGAAUUUCCGGUGUAGCAGUGAAAUGCGUAGAGAUCGGAAGGAACAUCUGUGGCGAAGGCGACUAUCUGGGCCAACACUGACACUGAGGCACGAAAGCGUGGGGAGCAAACAGGAUUAGAUACCCGUGUAGUCCCUGUCUCUUAUAC
rnacentral:rRNA from 1 species